UUUUAUUUAAAAAUUAUAGAUUUUGAACUGAUGCCUAAGAAUCGUAGAGCACAUCGCUUUUAAAAUGGAUGUCAGUGUGUUUGUUGCUAAUUCCUACGUGGUAGUGACCUGGCUUCCACCACAUUCUUGUUUCCCUGAGUUGUCCCUUCCGGUGAGUUCUGGAAUGUUUUAUCUUGUGAAUGAUUGUACUAUCACUGCAUAUAAACAACAUUAUAUUUCCUAGGCUCUGAUAUGUUUCUAAAUAUUUUAGCCUUAUGUCAGACAGACAGACCUUGUGGUUCUGCCAGCUUGGGUACCUGGCCACUGGCUACUGUGUGUAAGUAAUAGAAUUCAUAUGAGAACUAGGUAAACAGUAUUGUAAUUUUACCUUUAUCCAAUACUAAACAAUGUGCUGUUGAAUUAAGUUUAGUUGCACAUUGGCAUUAAAUUACAUAAACUAUUACAGAGAUGUUUAUGUAGAGCAUUGCAUGUGCGUUUUACAGAUAAUGAAACCAAAGACAUAAGAAAUUUUAUUUUCUCGACUCUAUGCAACAAGCAGGAUUUGGACCGUACAUUGACACAUUCAGGUUAUAGAAACGUUCAGAAUGUGUUCAGAGAUUACAGUGGUUCUGUUUUAAACUGUAAUAUUUUUUUUUUUUUUUUUCAUUAUUGUUCAUGAACUUUUAUUUUGUUCAUUGAAAAUUUCAGUGAUGUGCAUUAGACAUGUGCAGGUAUUCGGUAAUGCGAUAUAUCACGGUAAUGAAUAUGCAUGAUAUUGUUAUCGUGAGCACUUCUAAAUACCAUGAAUAAUUAUAUAUUACAAAUUAUUCAGAAUUUGGAAUGCAUUUUAAGAAUACUUUUACCAUCAACUGGUCAAAAUGCACAACACCGCUGUAUGCUGCUUGAAAGACACAUGUGCCACUCUGACGUAAAUAAGCACGCAUGAGAAGCACAUGAGGAACACGUGAGCUGAAUGAAAGCAUAUUCACUCUCUGACAGCAGAUGGCGCUAAACUGCAGAAAAUGCAGCCCUUACCCUGGAAACCCCAUAAAUAAAGCAGCUGCUCUACUUUCUAAAUCGUAUUUA
ensembl:lncRNA